GUCCACGCCGUAAACGAUGGAUACUAGCUGUUGGGGGCAACUUCAGUGGCUAAGCGAAAGUGAUAAGUAUCCCACCUGGGGAGUACGAACGCAAGUUUGAAACUCAAAGGAAUUGACGGGGCCCGCACAAGCGGUGGAGCAUGUGGUUUAAUUCGAUGAUACGCGAGGAACCUUACCAAGGCUUAAAUGUAGAUUGACCGAUUUGGAAACAGAUUUUUCGCAAGACAAUUUACAAGGUGCUGCAUGGUUGUCGU
rnacentral:rRNA from 1 species